rnacentral:tRNA from 1 species
GCCCGGGUGGCGGAAUGGUAGACGCUGAGGACUUAAAAUCCUUUGACCCUAGGUCGUAGGGGUUCGAGUCCCCUCCCGGGCA